GCCGCCACCGCGACUGCAGGGAGCAGCGGGCCGCCGCUUUUUGUCCAGGGGACGACAGGCUGCGACUGGGUCAGGGAAGCGAGGCACACUGCCGUUUCUUAGCAAAAAGAGAAAAAUGUAAAGAAAGAAAAUGCGCGUGUAAGAAGGCCAGCCGGGCACAAUGAGGCGACCACAUCUCGGCACCACGCAGAACUCGGGCUCAGGGGCUGAGAAACAGACAAAACCCCACCCGAGAUAGAGUCAAGUUUCGAUAUGAAAUCAGACCCUUCGUUUUAAAAUGUAGGGUGAUUCCGUGGGCAGUGCGUGCAAGCCCGGGUGGGUGUACGCGCGUUGGUGGACCUGGUCCUCGCCCUUGUCGCGGGAAGUAGUGUUUGGACUCUUAAGUGAAUGAUGAAGCCACUUCCUAUUUAAGGAGACUUCCAGCAAAUGUAUAUGAAACUUCUAAAUUGCAACUUUCUGAUUUGUUGGAUAUAACCUGGAAUUUACCUGAAAGAAAGUGGACCACUGGUGGAAACAUUGAACUUGAAACUGAUCAUUCAAGAAGACACAGGGAGCCCGUCUACCUGGAACUGGAAGAGAGAAGAUGCUUCACUCUGUGUGCAGAAUUUUAUAGAGAUGAGCAAACUGAAGUAUCAAGAAGGCUAAUGCUUCCAGGAACUUCAGAGCAUCUGAGAACCUUGACUGGAUUUAACCUUUAUUCAGGGUGCCACUGCUGGUUAAUAGCAAGAACUAGACACAACACCUAGUUCUCCUGAUUUUCAAACCAGAAAUCUUUGUCAUCUGUUGGUGUAACUUUAUCUGGGAUCCUCAAACCUUCCAGAAGUUUGUGCAUUUACUCUUCUUAAGAGUCCGCUGGGUUGCUAGAUAUGAACUCAAAAGCACAGGCAACAAAAGCAAAAACAGACAAAUAAGACAGCAUCAAAGUAAAAUCUCAUGCUCAGCUAAGGAAACCAUUAGUAGCAUGAAGAGAAAACCUACAGGAAGGAGAGAGAAAUAUACUGCUAAGAGAUACCUACACCGAUAAGGGAUUCAUACCAAAAUACAUAGGAAACUCAGAAAUCUCAAUAGUAAGGAAACAAAUAACCUGAUUAAAAAGUGAGUAAAUGGACUGGGGAUAUAGCUCAGCUAGUCAGGUGCCUGCCUUGCAGGCACGAGGCCCUAGGUUCAAUCCCCACUGCGGCACGCGUGUGCACGCACACACACACACACACAGUAAAGGUGAGUGAAGAGUCUGAAUAGACAUUUUUCAAACAAAGACAUUCAGUUGACCAACAGGUACAUUUAAAAAUGCUUUUAAUCACUAAUUAUCAGAGACAUGCAAAUUAAAACCACGAGGUAUCAACCUCACGCCUGGUGGAGCGGCCAUUACCAGAAAAGACAAAGGUAACAAGUGUUGGCAAGGAUGUGGCGGGAAGGGAACCCUGGCACAUUGUGGGCGGGAAUGUCACAUACAGCCCUUAUGGAAAACAGUAGAAGGUCCCUCAAGAAAUUAAAAAUAGAACUUCCCUGUGAUGGAGCAGUGCUGCCUGGGUAUGUAUAGAGAAAUUUUUAAUCGGUGGAAAUUCCAUGAAGAAUCACUAUGAGCCUAUUCUGAAUUAUCAGGGUGACCUGAUCACGGAGGGGCUGUAAGUGACCAACAGGGCUUGUGCCUCCGUUUGUGUCUGGGAGGGUGUCGGUGCUCAGCAGGACCCCGUUAAGGUAUCUGGAGCAAAUGAGGGACAAGACGGGGGUUUCAGUGGAUAAAGGGCAUCUUCUCCUCCAGUGAAAGCUCAGGAGGUGUCAACACAUUUUAAGAAAGAAAAUUCCACAGAAAGGUCACGAAUGGAAAAUGAGAGAAAAGAAGGUGGGUGGGCAGGGCUUGGGGAAACUAGUACUUGAAGCACCAGAGAAAGAGAGAGAGAGAGAAAGGUGGGGGGAGAAAGAGGGGGAGAAUGAAUUGGUAUCACCCCUAUAAUCACAAACUCAAAGGUAACUUCACUUCAGGAGGUCUUAAUUUUAGGAGAAAUGAAGGAAAGCUCUUCCUCUAUUACAUACAGUAAGCGACAAUUUGAGUUUAGCCAAUUUGGUAGUGUCAGGUCUUCAGGUCCUGAAUAACUUUAUUCAGUAAUAAUCACUGUCAUGAAUUUAAUUAUGCCCCUCACAAAUUCAUGUGUCGUCAUCCUAACCUCCUGGACCUCAGAAUGUAAGCUGAUUUGGAAAUAGUGUUGCUGCAGAUGUGAUUUGUUAAGAUAGGGUAUUCGCUAGAGUAGGGAAGGCCCCGGAUCCAAGUUGACCCGUGUCCUUAUAAGGAGAGCUGGAUAGAGGUUCACACGCAGAGAGACCGUCAUGGGAAGAUGGAAACAGAGCUUCUGCCGAUGCUUCCGCAAAUCAAGGAACAGCAAAGGUUGCCAGAAAACCAGCUGGAGCUAAGAGGGAGGCACAGAACAGAUUCUAUCUCACAGCCUCAGAAAGAACCAACCCUGCUGACACCUUGACCUUGGACUUCUAGGCUCCAGAAUAAUGAGGAAAGUUCUGUUGUUUAGGCUACCUGGCUUGUGGUUGUUUUGUUACAGCAUCUCCAGGAGUCUGAUACAGUUGCCAUUCCAUAAACUGCACAUUUAAUGUCACAAUUGUGACCCCAUUCACCCCUAAAGCCAGCGUCACAAUCACGGUCAUGAACAUAUCCAGCACCUCAAAAGUUUAUUUCUUUGUACCUUUUUGUAAUCUUCCCAACUCUUUGUCCUCCCACUUACUGCCUGUUCUUAGGCUUAGUAAACUCACUUCCUUUCUGUCAAUAUAGAUUUAUUUGUAUUUUAGAAUAUCUUUCACUUAACAAAGUAAUUGUUUUGAGAUUCAAGCAUGUUCUGUGUAACAAUAGUUUAUUGCUGAGUAUGACUUUAUUAUAUGGAGAUACCACAAUAUACUUAUGUAUUCCCCUGUUGCUGGACAUCUGGAUUAUGUCCAGUUCUUUCCUAAUAUAGAUCAUGUCUCUUGGAAUGGUUGUGUUCAAGUCUUUGUAUUUAUGAUUUCACUCCUCUUGGGUAAAUACCUAAGCAUGAAAUGACUGGAUCAUAUGGUAGGUGUUUCACAUUUUAUAGAGCUGCCAAAUUUUGUAAAAGUGCCAUUUGUCAUUCCCACCCUUGGUGUGAGAGAGUGCCAACUGGCUUGCACACUGAAAGCCUUUGAAAGUGAAUGCCUUUAGGCAGGUAGGAUAUCCCUGUUCUCUGUCACCAUGUGGUUUAUUGCCUUAAUUCAUA